AUUGAACGCUGGCGGCAUGAUUUACACAUGCAAGUCGAACGGUAACAGGCCGCAAGGUGCUGACGAGUGGCGAACGGGUGAGUAAUGCAUCGGAACGUGCCCAGUCGUGGGGGAUAACUACUCGCAAGAGUAGCUAAUACCGCAUACGAUCUAUGGAUGAAAGCGGGGGACCGUAAGGCCUCGCGCGAUUGGAGCGGCCGAUGUCAGAUUAGGUAGUUGGUGGGGUAAAGGCUCACCAAGCCAACGAUCUGUAGCUGGUCUGAGAGGACGACCAGCCACACUGGGACUGAGACACGGACCAGACUCCUACGGGAGGCAGCAGUGGGGAAUUUUGGACAAUGGGCGCAAGCCUGAUCCAGCAAUGCCGCGUGCAGGAAGAAGGCCUUCGGGUUGUAAACUGCUUUUGUACGGAACGAAACGGCUCUGGUUAAUACCCGGGGCUAAUGACGGUACCGGAAGAAUAAGCACCGGCUAACUACGUG
rnacentral:rRNA from 1 species